CAGCUCCUACGGGGGGCAGCAGUAGGGAAUAUUGCUCAAUAGGGGAAACCCUGAAGCAGCAACGCCGCGUGGAGGAUGAAGGUUUUCGGAUUGUAAACUCCUUUUGUUAGAGAAGAUAAUGACGGUAUCUAACGAAUAAGCACCGGCUAACUCCGUGCCAGCAGCCGCGGUAAUACGGAGGGUGCAAGCGUUACUCGGAAUCACUGGGCGUAAAGAGCGCGAAGGCGGGAUAGCAAGUCAGAUGUGAAAUGCUAUGGCUUAACCAUAGAACUGCAUUUGAAACUGUUAUUCUAGAUGAUGGGAGG
rnacentral:rRNA from 1 species